rnacentral:rRNA from 1 species
UACAGAGGCCCCAAGCGUUACUGAGAAUCACUGGGUUUAAAGGGUGCGUAGGUGGCGCGUUAAGUCCGUUGUGAAAUCCCUUGGCUCAACCAAGGAAUGGCUUCGGAUACUGGCGUGCUUGAGGCCGGUAAGGGUCACUGGAACUGACGGUGGAGCGGUGAAAUGCGUAGAUAUCGGGAGGAAUACCUAUGGCGAAAGCAGGCUACUGGACCGUCACUGACUCUGAUCUGCGAAAGCUAGGGGAGCAAACAGG